UGGAUCCAGACUUUGAUUAUGGCUCAGGAUGAACGCCGGCGGUGUGCCUAAUACAUGCAAGUCGUACGCACUGGCCCAACUGAUCGAUGGUGCUUGCACCUGAUUGACGUUGGAUCACCAGUGAGUGGCGGACGGGUGAGUAACACGUAGGUAACCUGCCCCGGAGCGGGGGAUAACAUUUGGAAACAGAUGCUAAUACCGCAUAACAACAAAAGCCACAUGGCUUUUGUUUGAAAGAUGGCUUUGGCUAUCACUCUGGGAUGGACCUGCGGUGCAUUAGCUAGUUGGUAAGGUAACGGCUUACCAAGGCGAUGAUGCAUAGCCGAGUUGAGAGACUGAUCGGCCACAAUGGAACUGAGACACGGUCCAUACUCCUACGGGAGGCAGCAGUAGGGAAUCUUCCACAAUGGGCGCAAGCCUGAUGGAGCAACACCGCGUGAGUGAAGAAGGGUUUCGGCUCGUAAAGCUCUGUUGUUGGAGAAGAACGUGCGUGAGAGUAACUGUUCACGCAGUGACGGUAUCCAACCAGAAAGUCACGGCUAACUACGUGCCAGCAGCCGCGGUAAUACGUAGGUGGCAAGCGUUAUCCGGAUUUAUUGGGCGUAAAGCGAGCGCAGGCGGUUGCUUAGGUCUGAUGUGAAAGCCUUCGGCUUAACCGAAGAAGUGCAUCGGAAACCGGGCGACUUGAGUGCAGAAGAGGACAGUGGAACUCCAUGUGUAGCGGUGGAAUGCGUAGAUAUAUGGAAGAACACCAGUGGCGAAGGCGGCUGUCUGGUCUGCAACUGACGCUGAGGCUCGAAAGCAUGGGUAGCGAACAGGAUUAGAUACCCUGGUAGUCCAUGCCGUAAACGAUGAGUGCUAGGUGUUGGAGGGUUUCCGCCCUUCAGUGCCGGAGCUAACGCAUUAAGCACUCCGCCUGGGGAGUACGACCGCAAGGUUGCAACUCAAAUGAAUUGACGGA
rnacentral:rRNA from 1 species